rnacentral:rRNA from 1 species
GACGAACGCUGGCGGCGUGCCUAAUACAUGCAAGUCGAGCGCAGGAAACUGACGGAACUCUUCGGAGGGAAGGCAGCGGAAUGAGCGGCGGACGGGUGAGUAACACGUAAGGAACCUGCCUCAAGGAUUGGGAUAACUCCGAGAAAUCGGAGCUAAUACCGGAUAGUUCAACGGACCGCAUGGUCCGCUGAUGAAAGGCGCUUCGGCGUCACCUUGAGAUGGCCUUGCGGUGCAUUAGCUAGUUGGGGGGGUAACGGCCCACCAAGGCGACGAUGCAUAGCCGACCUGAGAGGGUGAUCGGCCACACUGGGACUGAGACACGGCCCAGACUCCUACGGGAGGCAGCAGUAGGGAAUCUUCCACAAUGGACGAAAGUCUGAUGGAGCAACGCCGCGUGAGUGAUGAAGGUUUUCGGAUCGUAAAACUCUGUUGUAAGGGAAGAACACGUACGAGAGGAAAUGCUCGUACCUUGACGGUACCUUACGAGAAAGCCACGGCUAACUACGUGCCAGCAGCCGCAGUAACAC